ACGAUCAGUAGGGGUUCUGAGAGGAAAGGUCCCCCACAUUGGAACUGAGACACGGUCCAAACUCCUACGGGAGGCAGCAGUGAGGAAUAUUGGUCAAUGGGCGAGAGCCUGAACCAGCCAAGUAGCGUGCAGGAUGACGGCCCUAUGGGUUGUAAACUGCUUUUAUAAGGGAAUAAAGUGAGUCUCGUGAGACUUUUUGCAUGUACCUUAUGAAUAAGGACCGGCUAAUUCCGUGCCAGCAGCCGCGGUAAUACGGAAGGUCCGGGCGUUAUCCGGAUUUAUUGGGUUUAAAGGGAGCGUAGGCCGGAGAUUAAGCGUGUUGUGAAAUGUAGACGCUCAACGUCUGCACUGCAGCGCGAACUGGUUUCCUUGAGUACGCACAAAGUGGGCGGAAUUCGUGGUGUAGCGGUGAAAUGCUUAGAUAUCACGAAGAACUCCGAUUGCGAAGGCAGCUCACUGGAGCGCAACUGACGCUGAAGCUCGAAAGUGCGGGUAUCGAACAGGAUUAGAUACCCUGGUAGUCCGCACGGUAAACGAUGGAUGCCCGCUGUUGGUCUGAAUAGGUCAGCGGCCAAGCGAAAGCAUUAAGCAUCCCACCUGGGGAGUAC
rnacentral:rRNA from 1 species